GACAGAGGUGCCAAGCGUUAGGCGGAAUCACUGGGCUUAAAGCGCGUGUAGGUGGCGGCCUAAGUACCUUGUGAAAUCCUGCGGCUCAACCGCAGAACUGCUUGGUAUACUGGGUCGCUUGGAGCCAUCCAGGGGCAACUGGAACAAGCGGUGGAGCGGUGAAAUGCGUAGAUAUCUGGAGGGACACCGGUGGCGAAGGCGGCAUCCUGGACCGGCAUUGACGCUGAGGCGGCGAAA
rnacentral:rRNA from 1 species